UGGGCUUUGUUUCCCCUGUGUGUGCCAGGCUGAGAAAGUUGUUGUUGUGCUGCAGAGUGUCUGAGGUGUGCAGGCAGAGGUCGUGGAGUGCUUUCUGAGCAGGCUGAGAUCUUGUCCCCAGCUGAGAAGUCAAAUGCUGUGUUCAGUGCCUCUGCUGCAGUGGCUUUGUGCUGAGCUUUCCAGUGCUGAGCAUCUCUCUUCUGAGUCUUGCUGUGUGCAGCUGGGAGCUGAGGGCAGUUGAAUGGAGGCAGGAGGGAUGGUCCUGAGCACUGGGAGAAGAGGGAGCUGCUGAAAGCUGCUGAGUGUGAGCUGGUCCCUUCUGCUGUGAUGGUAGCCACUGGUGUUGGAGAGAGCUUUGUGCUUGGAGUGUGCUCUGGUGGUGUGCAUGAGAGGUGGUCUGGGUCUGUGCAAAGGGAGCUGCCAGAUGCUUGUCCAUGUGAGGCCUGUUUCUGUGGGUGUUGUGUGUCCUGUGUUUGAUGCUGGAGUCAGGGAAUGGUUUGGCUUGGAGGGGACCUGAGGGAUCCUCUAGUUGUGGGCAGGGCAACCUUGCACUGGAGCAGUCUGCUUGAGGCCUUAUGUGGCCUGGCCUUGGAGCCCUGGAGGGAGUGUGUCAGGCACAUGUGGAGUGAUUUGUGUCAGGAAGGUGUGAGUUGAGCUGGCAGCUGUGGGCAGGAGGAAGAUUGCCCUGUCUGCAGUAGGCUCUUUGUGCAUGUUAGGCUGAGCCCUGCUGGGGAUUUCCAGUGGUGUGUGUGGAGGCAUUUGUGUGUUUGGAUUUGAUGUGCUUCCAGCUGAGGGAGCCUGCAGAGUGUUUUCUGGUGCAGUUCCCCUAUAGAGCAGCAAGGAAGGCCCCAGGCAAAGCCCCAACAGGCUGUUAAAGCUGAGCCUGAGUGCAUUUCCCUGCUGCAGCAGGCAGGAGGCAGCCAUGUGCAGAGUGGGUGUCUGGGAGUUGUUAGGCUCCAUCUCCUUAGGCAGAAAGAUUUGCUGACAGCUUUCAGGCUUCUGUUCAGUUCCUCUCAAGGUUUCCUGCCCACAAAGAGAGUGAGGUCAGGUGGAGCCUUUGCUGUUUGCCUGCAGGCUGAUAGCUGUGCAGAGCUUUUGUCCCCUGUGCUGUCAGGAGCACUGUGCCCUGCUGCUGUUGGUGUGGAGAUGGAGAAAUGGUGUGUGGAAGAAGAGCAGGGAGCAUUGAGAGCAGGAUGAGAUGUCCAGAGUGUGCUUGUGGCUGAGGCCUUGUUUUUGAUUUGAGUGCAGUGUUUGAUUGGAGUGGGGUCAGGCUGUCCUGAGUGGUUUUGUUUGCAAGAAGUUGUGAGGUUUCCUUGGAGGAGCUUGAGAAGCAGAGCAAGAAAUUGCAGCUGUGCUCUUUGCUGCCUGCUGAGCUGUCAAAGGCAGGAAAUGAUUGGUGAAAGUGGCUGCAGCAAUUGCAGUGGUGUGCAAGGCUGAGCAGUGGUGUGGGCAGCAGAGCCAGGGCAGGAUUGUGCCCCUGUCCUGGGCCCUGAUGAGGCCGCAGGGUGAAUGCUGGGGUCAGUGUUGAGGCAGUGAGUGGAAGAAGGUCGUUGAGGGCCUGGAGCAGGUGCAGAGAAGGACAAGAAAGCUGUGGAAGGGUGUGGAGGGCAGGGCUGUGGAGGAGCAUCUGAGGGAGCUGAGGGUGUUGAGUGUGGAGAAGAGGAGGCUGAGGGGAGAGCUGAUUGCCCUGUCCCUGAGAGGAGGUUGCAGUGAGGUGAGGUUGGUCUGUUCUUGCCAGUGUCAGGGAGAGGAACUGGCCUGGAAGUGUGGCAGGGGAGGCUUAGGUUGGAGAUGAGGGAGAAUUUCUUUACAGCAAGAGUGUUGAGGGAGUGGAACAGGGUGCCCAGGGAGGUGGUGGAUUCCCCAGCGCUGGAGGUGUUGAGGGCCAGUUUGGAUGAGGCUUUGAGCAGCCUGGUCUGGUAGCAGGUGUCCCUGGCUAUGGCAGGGGUUUGGAGCUCUCUGAGCUUUGGGUUCCCUUGCAGCCCAAACAAUUCUGUGAAUGCUUGGAUCUGGACACUCAGCAGAAGUUCAGUGGAGUGAAACUGUAAAUAAGCAAUGUUGGAGAGCUGGGUGAGAGCUGUGUUAGGGCUGGGUUGGAGCUUGGCCCCUGCCUUGAAGGUAAAAUUGGAGCUUUUAUCAGAUUGGAAGUUGCAGGAGAGUUGUUUUGGCCUGCAGCUGUGCCUUAGAGUUUGUGAUGCUCAAGGGGCAGCUGUGAAGUAGCUGCUGCAGGAACUGAGCUGAACUGGAAGGCUGCAGUGCAGAAGGAAAAAUUUCUGCCUCUCAGUCAGGCCCUGGAAUCAUCUCCCAAGGGCAGUGUUGGAUUCCCCUGGCCGGGGCAGCUGUAAGAGUGCUCUUGUCAGGGGCUGGUCCAGCUGAUGGCAAGUGCGAUGUCAGCUGGCAAGGUGGGAGCAGAAGGUCCUUGGUGUCCCUUCCAGGCUGGCCUUCUGUGGGCACAGAGCUGUGCUGGACAUGCUGAGGGCAGCUGCAAAGCUCUUGAAGCCUUUGUGCAGAGUGCCAAAGACAUGAAUGAGCCUGGAAAGUGACUGCAGAGUUCCCUGCUGAGAGCUUUUCCGAGCUGCCCAAGCAUUUGUGGACUCUGAGAGAGGAGCACACCUGGCACCUGGUGACCCCCGACGUGAUUUCUCGGGACGAGGAAGAGUCUGGCAGCGGAUGGCAGGAGGAAGCAGGGCUCUGGCCUGCUGGUGAAGGGAGCCAGGCCUACAUUAGAGUGUAUCUUCUGUGGAGAAGCAGUGCUUCGUUCUUAAAGGGACAGAGUGCAUUUGUGAGAGCCUUUUGCAGACUAAAAUCCUGAUGAUGUUUUUAGCUUCUGAUUGUAAUAGAUUUUAGAGCCUACUGGAUAAGAUCUUAAGUAGCUGUUCACUGUAAUAGGAUAUCAGUAAGUUUUGGAGUCAUUUUAGCAGGGUGAUGGUGAUAAGGCUUAGGUAGUUAAAAUAUGGCAUGUUAAGUAAUUGGUAGUUGCUGUAAUGGAGUAUUAUGGUAAGAGUUGUUUUGGUAAGUGUGUAAGUUAAUGAUUCUCUCUUUGUGAUGGUCGAUUUAAGGUUUUUUCUUUUUCCUGGGCACCAGGGUGUUUUCAGAGAGCUCUGUGGAAUGUAUCAGCCUCUUGGAUUUCUUUGGUUUGUUGUUUUUUUCUCAGUACUGAUUCAGUGUUUUUAAUUUUUAGUUUAUCAAUUUCUAGCAUUGAUGUGGUUAAGACUAAGAGUUUGUGGUAGGGAUAUCAUAGGGUAUUUUUUCCUGUUUUUUUCUGUAUCUCAAGAUAACACUGUAGGAUAGGGACAAUGUAAAAACAAAACAAAAAGAGGGAGAGAGAAAGAGAGACAGAGGAAAACUUGAAAAUUCUCUGGUUGCAUCCCACAGAGAAAUUCACCCUAGAG